rnacentral:lncRNA from 1 species
AUUUAGUGAUAGCUGGCUUCUGAGUGAUAUUUACCUAAGCUCUCCUUUUUUAUUGGUAUUUUCCAGACUGCAAACAUAACAGAAAGUUCUGUCCAUGUGACUCCAAGAUAUUGCAGGUGACUGUCAGCUUGAUGCAGAAAUUCACUUUGUCUCACUGCAUCACAGUUUAUGAAGUACAAUGCAAAUUCUUUGGUCUUUAGGGCAUGUCAUUUCCAUGUUCAGUUUUUGAAAUUAAUUUACACCAUUGCAAGACAAAGAAAGUGGAAAUUUUCCUGCUGUCAUACCCACCUCUGUUACCAGCCUUCCCUUUCGUUUCAGCAGUGUCUAGCAGGGAGCCCUUAUCUGCAUAUGAUGUUCACAAAGGGCCUGCUGGAACAUCCAAGUCCAGUCUGCACUUGUGAAGCACCUGCUCUGCAGAUUAUCCGAGGCCGGUGUGGAGAGAGAGAGACAAAAUGACAUCUAACUAAAGGUGGCACAGUCAGACUCACGAGGUAUAUACUGUUUUUUCUUCAAGAAAAGGUCAGCUGGGCAACGAAUAAAGCAAGAAAGAAGUCAGUUUAAGGACUUACU